rnacentral:tRNA from 1 species
CGAUCUGGUAGUUCAGGGGGAGAACGCUUGCUUGACAGGCAAGAAGUCGGGGGUUCGAAUCCCUCUCAGAUCAUCCA